GAGGGUAGAGCUCAGUGGUAGAGCAUGUGCUUAGCAUGCACGAGGUCCUGGGUUCAAUCCCCAGCACCUCCU
rnacentral:tRNA from 1 species